rnacentral:rRNA from 1 species
GAUGAACGCUGGCGGCGUGCCUAGUACAUGCAAGUCGAGCGAACAGACGAGGAGCUUGCUCCUCUGACGUUAGCGGCGGACGGGUGAGUAACACGUGGAUAACCUACCUAUAAGACUGGGAUAACUUCGGGAAACCGGAGCUAAUACCGGAUAAUAUAUUGAACCGCAUGGUUCAAUAGUGAAAGACGGUUUUGAUGUCACUUAUAGAUGGAUCCGCGCCGCAUUAGCUAGUUGGUAAGGUAACGGCUUACCAAGGCGACGAUGCGUAGCCGACCUGAGAGGGUGAUCGGCCACACUGGAACUGAGACACGGUCCAGACUCCUACGGGAGGCAGCAGUAGGGAAUCUUCCGCAAUGGGCGAAAGCCUGACGGAGCAACGCCGCGUGAGUGAUGAAGGUCUUCGGAUCGUAAAACUCUGUUAGUAGGGAAGAACAAAUGUGUAAGUAACUAUGCACGUCUUGACGGUACCUAAUCAGAAAGCCACGGCUAACUACGUG